ensembl:lncRNA
AGGCCUCUGAGGGUCUCCAGGCCUACACUGAGAAGCUUCACUUCAGAUUCACAGGUUUUGAAGACACCAGGGAAUCUACUAGCAUCAUCUGAUAUUUUCAGGUCUGAUAUUAAGAAUUUCUUUUUCUCAGAAAGAGUAGUUGGGCACUGGAACAGGCCGCCAGGAAGGUGGGGGAGUCACCAUCCUUGGAGGUGUUCAAGAGCCAUGUGGAUGUGGCACUGUGGGACGUGGUCAGUGGGGAUGGGUCGGCGGUUGGACUAGAUGACCUUAGAGAUCUUUUCCAACUGCAAUGAUUCUGUGAAUCCCUGCACAUGAGAACUGGAUGCCCAGCUCUGCUGCAGGACAGGAGAUGCUUCUUCAUUCACCUCUGGACCAAGCCUGCUGAAAGCUCUGGAUGGAUUAGUAAGAAUGCAAUUUACAGAACUUCCAGCUCAGGGUUAUCUGACGAGCAGGAGCACAGACAAAAUAAAGCUCACAACCACACAGACUCCUCCACACCUCCCGGAGCACCUGAAAUGAAAAAUGUGACCAGACACAUCGAUCCUGACAAACCACAGAGCAGCUGUGCUCAUCAGGCACUCCACGUAAAUACUGAAGCCAACAUCAUACCUCUGUUGUGAGGACAUAAAAAAAGGGUCUGGGGUGCCCCGAGAAGAGGAUGUUUCUGACCACAAGGAAGGAAUCACAAGGAAGCAAGGAAGGAGAGAAUAAAGCAGCAUGUCAGUUUAGGUCUUGGACAUGCAGCUUCAACUUCAUAGGCGCUCAGCUAGCUUAGCCAACACCCCAACAUCAGGGCAUCACCUGUAAAGCACACAUCCUACCACCAGACUGAAGUCCAAGAAAUGAUCCAGUUCUUGCUAAUCCUUCUGGCUUUUCCCCUCACUCACUGAGUACAAAUAACCAAAAAAAGAAAGAAAAAAAAAAAAGAAGGAAAGGAAAUUCUAAACAUUCUCCAUGACUCUCUGAAGCAAGUAAUAAUCUCAUAAAAGUAGUAUGGCAAAGGCUUUGUUAGCCAAAGAGACCCGUAAUUAAUUGCUAACAUUCCUAAGGAAAAGUUUCCAUUAAGCGAUAUGUGGGAAUUGGACAUCUUGAAAACUGCAGUAAGACUCUUGGAUCUCCCACCGGCUAACAGCAGCCAGGCAGAGCUACUGCCAGAAAGCAUGAAGCUGUUGUGCUUCACCCUCCCAGCUCCUCCAGCGUGUUGGAAGGGAGUAGCUGGAGGCCAAUUUCCAAGGGGAAAAAAGAAAUCAUCAAGAUGAAGGUCUCUACGCAGCUCACCGUAAGCAUAAGGGCAGAACGUAGAUUCCUCCUCCUGGAUUAGCAAAAAAGUGUACAGAGAUCCCAGCCCACCUCUAGUUGUAGCUCAAAAUAUCGCAAUUUGGAGACUGCCUCCAAAGACGAACAGCAAAGCAAAUAACCAGAAGG